rnacentral:rRNA from 1 species
GAAGGAGGAGAGAAGGGGAGCUUCGGAGCCCGUACCUUCUGUCGAACUCGGUACCUCGGUAUAGAGGUAGGUAGGGGUUCUCUCGGAGGGGGAGUUCUACCUCGAGACGCGGGCGACCGACAGAGUCACCUAAUCGGGGGUUCGGGUUCUAGGUACCCUCCUUCCUACCUUAGGCAGGAACAUUCUCUUCUCUCUCCAGAAACACAAGUUCCAGCCCGCGUUCCUGGCGCCGCCGGGGACGCGGGCUGGAGGAGGGCGCAUGCAGUCGCGGCGGCCGGAGCAGCUGGCGGGGACGCGGGCGCAGGGCGGCGGCCUGACCCACGGGACCAUGUACCGGGGGCGCAGGACCAUGUACUGCGUACUCGCGCGAGUGGAGUGCUGCGGGUGCCGGUGCGGGGGACGCGGGCGGGAGGAGGACGGCGGGUGCCGCGGGAGUUGGCGCUGGAGCCUCGGGACGUUGGUGUUGCCGUACGACAACCCAGGGGCACACGUACGAUCACUAGAGAGAGACCGGUGUCGUGGGCGGUGGUCGCAGUGAUGUCGUCAAAGGAAUGGUGGAUGUCGAUUGGGGAAGCCAGGGGCCAAUAGACGAGUACCAGAGGACGGCCGGUGUCUCGAGUGCUGGUGGCUGGGAGGUGGUCGUGAGGCAGGCGACGGAUGCCGUAGAAGAUAGAUAUUGGGGUACCAAUACCUUUCCUCUUUAGACCGUGACGACCUAAGUAACCGAGACCUCGACUAACUACCACUUUGCCUUCGACUGCUCGUGAGCUACCUACUCCUGCUGCUCACCCUAGAAUUCCGUCGAACCACGUCACCACGAAUUCUCCGGUCCACGUUCCGGUAUUUGUUAGGUUUCGUUCGCGUACUACUUCGUUCAAGUCGUUUGUUAGCCCAAAAAGUCCCUCCCGUUUCUAGAUUCUUUGACUUUCAUUCAACGUACGUGCACCAUGUCCCUUCAAACGUUGAUAUAGCACAUACUUUGUCUCUCAGCCCCCGGGAAAAGAUGGACUAAAACACAAAACAAUGGACUAGCAGUUGCGUGUUCUCUCCAAGGUCUCAAGCACACGUUGUUUCUUAAACGUCCAGUAAAACCGAACUAAUCGAAAAGCGGACCCUACAAUAGAAAGUCCUGUCCUUGAGGAGGGGGGAUUCCGGUAGUACCGCACAAACGGAUUAGCAUUGUGUACCUCUACAAUAAAACGCACAAAAAAACGACACUUAGUCCAUAUACACACCCCCCGGCAUCCCACAAACUACCCCAUUUCACCCCAAGUGCCUCCCCCACUCCGCAAAAAACAACCCCUGGUCCCACACUCAAAAAACCCCUGUACUAUUAACACCCCCUCCCAUUUUGAAUUCGAAAAAAACGAACACCCUUCUGGUCGUACACUAAAGAAUGGUGUGCUUUACCAGACUCGUAGUUUGCAAACGUCCAAGUCCACCGUUUGACUAUUGUGCGCCUCGAGUUAGUUUUUAUCAGAACCAUGACACGUCAACUAAAACCCAAUUUCUUGCUUAUCGUAACGGAUACGAGAAGGUCUUAACUGAGUUACCGACACUGCCUCUCUCCUAUAAGAGGGUCGUGGCGCCCCUUCUCCGACGGCGGUCACUUGCCGCCACGACCGGGUACGUUAAUACGCUCAAGCACGCGUCUAACUGGACGACGAGGAAGUUACGAACUAAAACAUCGUAGAGGAGAGAGGAAGGGAGGGGUGAAACAAGGAGUCAAUAAGUCAUCAUGAUUUCUUAGACCAAGUUAGCAGCAUAUUAGGUACCUACAAACUACGACACUUUGGAACAGUG